AGAAAUCCCUUAGCUUACCACAGAGCAGAACCCCCAGAGGACCAGGACUCCCAAUGUCCCCCCAUUCCCCACCCGCCAGGAGAGAGCUUACCUCUCCCUCUUCCCAGCUGAGACCCUUCUGUGUCCCUUUCUGCACCUCUGCCCCGCCGCCCCCUCUAGCUCUCAUGCCUUCAUAUUUCCCCUGCCUUACUCCUCCUUUCCACCCAGCUCAGCCCUGUCCUUCCUAAACCCUCCUUCAGGCUUGGUGUCUUUCAGUAGCCAAAUAAAUUUCAGAGCACGGAGAUGGGAGCCAGCACAGAUGAGGUCCAGGCAUUUUUUAAGGGGUAGAGUGAGAUCAGGAGUCACCCUGUUUCUUCCCUCCCCACCCAGACUCCACACAGCCCUGGGCUGUGAAUCACUGAUUCAAAAGGGCCAUGAAGUUAGGCAAAGGUGCAGAACUGUUAUGGGGCUGGAGGAACAUGCAGGUGGCAUGAGGGCCAUUUGGGUGACAGCAAGAGGAAGCAGCGCUGCUCACUCCUUCUCCAGGUAGGUACUUUGAGGGGUUAUGAAUUAGGAAUGUGGGUGUCAUAUAUUUGGGACCUAGCUUUGCAUGAACUUGAACUCAAAUGUUCUUCAACAUAACAGCUACAACCUCCCUGGGGGCCGCCCCUGACCCCCACCUCUCCUAAGAAAUUUGCAGCCUGGGCCAAGGUUUUUCUCUUUGGCUCCGCUUGGAAGUGCAAACCUUGUGGAUUUGAGAUGAAACAUAUGCUGUUCUGGAAUGUGGCUGUUAGCCAAGGGAAUGCUCAGAGGCCCCUGCAAAAUUUGUAGCCAUCUGCCUGGGGUUGAGCUGGGGGGGUUGUGACAGAGCAUUUGGGGCUGGGAAGGAGCCAUGGAGGCUGAGGGUACCUUCCGUUCCUCUACCCCACUUAGGACCAGUGCCUCUCUUAUCAUUCAAGUGGAUCUCAAUGUGCUGUAUUCCUCCCCUGGGGAGACCCAAACCAGACUCACCCUCAGAUGCCGUGGGCCGAGUGACUGGCUCCAAAGGGAACAGGUGCCAAUUAGAAUGGCAUUUUGCAUAUUCUUUGAAUGUUAUUCAUUUCCUGCCAAAAGACACAAACUUUCCCUCCUCCCUGCCCCCGUCCCGGGAACCCACAGUGUUUUCCGUUCUUCCUCUCCAGCUCUGUUCCACUCAUAGUCCCCGUUUCUCUGGGGAUUUUGCUGACCCUUCUUCUGGAGCUUCUCUUGGCCUCCCAGGCCCUGAUCAUCAAUGUGGAAACCCCCCAGUAGAUGCGUCUUCAGGCCCAGACUUCCCUCUUUGGAGUGGCCAGACAGCAAAUGCUCAGACCCCCUCCUCCCCGUCGAACAAGCUCAGAAAUCAGUUGCCCGGGAAGGCCCUGCCUGGACUUUCUUGAAUAGCUGCAGGUCUAGGCUGGAAAGCCCCUGAGGAGGACUUAUCACAGGGACUGGGUGUGUUGUGGGAGAGAGGCAGCUGGCAGAGGCCCCACCAAAUUAUGGGUUAAAGAGCUCCAUUUGAAAGCAUUUCUGGGAAGUUGUCAAGUGGAGAUGGGGGAGGCUUAGGGAAAUCUUAGGGAUUGAAAAGAACCCUGGAGAUGAUUUCAUUCAAUGCUGUUUAUUAUUAUUAAUAACAAUGGUUUUUAAAUUCAUUUUUAACUUCUGGAGAAUCUAAGACCUAGAGGAAGAAGGUCGGUUCCCCGGGGUCAUGGGGGUUAGCAGCCGAGCUGGAUGACAAGCCAGGACUGCCAACUCCCAGUCCAGCGCUGCUUUCACAGGACACUGUCUCUGUAAGUGCUCUUAGGAGAAUGUCACCAUGUCCCCAGCAUGCUGUGGAGGUGGCAGCUGCAUCAGUGGACCUGCUGCUUCCCUGGCCUUUGAGCUCCAAGCCCAGCCUCUGCCGAGACAGUCACUGAGGACGGCUAUUACCUGUCCCUCGGGUGAAUCCCAGAACCACACAGGGGGUGCAUCAGGC
rnacentral:lncRNA from 1 species